UGCCAUGAAUAUCUUUGCUUUUUUGUUUUUUUGGUUCACGGCAUCCAAGAUUCGUGUCUCUCCCAACUCCACAGCACCUCCCUACAGAAUCAAAGCAUCUUUUCAAACUUGCAGUUCCUAACAGGGAUGGAACAAUCAGUAAACAAGGAGGCAAAUAAUGAAGGGGCCAGGGAUGGAGGCCAGUGCUCUGAGGGUUAUCUCCCAGCCUCAGAUGCUGGAUAAGUCGAAGGAGGCAGAAUCGCUUUUGGAUGACAUUCAGGUCGGAGUGAUUAUUUGGAAGAGAAAAAGCCUGCCUGUUCUUUCUAAGGUCGAUGACUGCCCCCCUGACACUGCCCAUGCAUUGAUGAAUUCUUCGAAACCUGACUUAAACAAAGGAGGCACUUGGGGCCCCCACCACACCUAAAGCCACGCUUUGAAGGAUCUGCCAAGCUCACUUUUAAUCAUGAGAAAGAAAUUACCCACACGGAGUCAGCAGAAAAUGAGAAAGGAGAGCUCGUGCUGCGAAUAAUUCCAGCAAGUGCCAAGGGGCUAGUUGAGGAAUGGCUUCAUGAGAUGUUAGUCUAAAUAUUCUUGGAUCCAAGCAGCAAGCACCAUUCAGCAAAGAAAAAAGACUUCGUCAAGAUUAUUUCAAAUGUGACAUAAAUACCUAGGUUGGGCCAGUAGUUUAUUUUUUUUCAAUUGAAUGGAUUUUAAUGUCAACUCUUGGCCUGUAUUGUACUAUUUUCUGAAUGUUUUCUUUUUGCUAGAACUGUCUUAACACUGGCUGUUGACCUAUAUUCAUAUUUACUGUUUCUCUGUAUUAUUUUC